rnacentral:rRNA from 1 species
GUAGGUUGCAAGCGUUGUCCGGAUUUACUGGGUGUAAAGGGCGUGUAGGCGGCAGAACAAGUCUGGAGUAAAAGGUAUGGGCUCAACCCGUACUGGCUCUGGAAACUGUUCAGCUAGAGAACAGAAGAGGACGACGGAACUCCAUGUGUAGCGGUAAAAUGCGUAGAUAUAUGGAAGAACACCGGUGGCGAAGGCGGCCGUCUGGUCUGUUGCUGACACUGAAGCACGAAAGCGUGGGGAGCAAAAAGGAUUAGAUACCCUAGUAGUCCACGCCGUAAACGAUGAGAACUAGGUGUUGGGGGAAUAACUCAGUGCCGCAGUUAACGCAAUAAGUUCUCCGCCUGGGGAGU